UACGGGGGGGGCAAGCGUUGUUCGGAAUUACUGGGCGUAAAGGGCGCGUAGGCGGCCUACUAAGUCGGACGUGAAAUCCCUCGGCUCAACCGGGGAACUGCGUCUGAUACUGGUGGGCUCGAAUCCGGGAGAGGGAUGUGGAAUUCCAGGUGUAGCGGUGAAAUGCGCAGAUAUCAGGAAGAACACCCGUGGCGAAGGCGGCUCUCUGGAACGCAACUGACGCUGAGACGCGAAAGCGUGGGGAGCAAACAGG
rnacentral:rRNA from 1 species